GCUACUUUGCUUUGGGAGUGCCGUCUGGCCAGACUAAGGUCCGUUUUACCUUCCAACUUGUCCGGUGUGUUCCUUCCCGGGUCUUCUUCGCUGCAGUCAGCUCCUCGGAGCGUUUGCCUGCAGUCUUUUGGAGCUGAAAUUACUUAUCUACACAGAAGUCUUCUCCACCCAGACAUGGAGUCUAUGGAGUGCUCUGCCAUCUCUCAGAAACUUGGAGGUCUGAGAGAGAGAGGAUGUUUACUCUUCACUUAAUAAACACAGGACUCGUGUCUACACUAUCGGCCAGCCUCUUCAUUCGGGGCAGUGUGAUUCUUCCACAAUAAUCCCAGUGAAUUCCAAAUGAGAGUCCUGACAGUGCAGAAACACAGCUUAGAUUCUGCCCGUGAAGUAAGUGUACAUGUGCCGGAAGAAAGCCC
ensembl:lncRNA